GCACCCUUGGUGUAUGGGAACACACAUCUGAGAGUUGUUUCUGAGAUGAUCACUCAGGAUGAGUCCGGGGUUCGAAUCCCCGAGGGUGCG